rnacentral:lncRNA from 1 species
CCUAUAGGACACCCAUCCCGCCCCAUAGAGCCCCAUAGAACCCCAUAGGACACCCAUCCCGCCCCAUAGGACCCCAUUCCGCCCCAUAGAGCCCCAUAGAACCCCAUAGGACACCCAUCCCGCCCCAUAGACCCCCAUAGAACCCCAUAUGACACCCAUUAUGACCCAUAGGACACCCAUUGCGCCCCAUAGAGCCCCAUAGAACCCCAUAGGACACCCAUUCCGCCCCAUAGGACACCCAUCCCGCCCCAUAGACCCCCAUAGAACCCCAUAGGACACCCGUUCCGCCCCAUAGAGCCCCAUAGAACCCCAUAGGACACCCAUUCCGUCCCAUACGACCCCAUUCCGCCCCAUACAGCCCCAUUAGGCCCCAUAGAACCCCCAUCCCGCCCCAUAGGUCACCCAUCCCGCCCCAUAGAGCCCCAUAGAACCCCAUAGGACACCCGUUCCGCCCCAUAGGACACCCAUCCCGCCCCAUAGAGCCACAUUAGGCCCCAUAGGACAACCAUUAGGCCCCAUAGAGCCCCAUUCCGCCCCAUAGAGCCCCAUUAGGCCCCAUAGAACCCCCAUCCCGCCCCAUAGGUCACCCAUCCUGCCCCAUAGGACCCCAUUCUGCCCCAUAGAACCCCCAUCCCGCCCCAUAG